rnacentral:rRNA from 1 species
AUUGAACGCUGGCGGCAGGCCUAACACAUGCAAGUCGAGCGGAUGAAGGGAGCUUGCUCCUGGAUUCAGCGGCGGACGGGUGAGUAAUGCCUAGGAAUCUGCCUGGUAGUGGGGGAUAACGUCCGGAAACGGGCGCUAAUACGGCAUCCUCCUGGGGGGGGAAGGUGGGGGAUCUUCGGACCUCAGGCAUUAAAUCGAGCCUAGGUCGGAUUAGCUAGUUGGUGGGGUAAAGGCCUACCAAGGCGACGAUCCGUAACUGGUCUGAGAGGAUGAUCAGUCACACUGGAACUGAGACACGGUCCAGACUCCUACGGGAGGCAGCAGUGGGGAAUAUUGGACAAUGGGCGAAAGCCUGAUCCAGCCAUGCCGCGUGUGUGAAGAAGGUCUUCGGAUUGUAAAGCACUUUAAGUUGGGAGGAAGGGCAGUAAGUUAAUACCUUGCUGUUUUGACGUUACCAACAGAAUAAGCACCGGCUAACUUCGUG